rnacentral:rRNA from 1 species
UACGGAGGAUGCAGGCGUUAUCCGGAUUUAUUGGGUUUAAAGGGUGCGUAGGCGGGACUGUAAGUCAGUGGUGAAAUCUUUCGGCUUAACCGAAAAACUGCCAUUGAUACUGCAAUCCUUGAGUACAGUUGAGGUAGGCGGAAUGCGUCAUGUAGCGGUGAAAUGCUUAGAUAUGACACAGAACUCCGAUUGCGAAGGCAGCUUACUAAACUGUAACUGACGCUGAGGCACGAAAGCGUGGGGAU